ensembl:rRNA 5S_rRNA 5S ribosomal RNA
UCUGACAGCCAUACCGCACUGAGCACGCCCGAUCUCGUACGAUCUCAGAAGCUAAGCAGUGCUGGGCCUGGUUAGUACUUGGAUGGGUGACCAACUUGGAAUACCAGGUGCUGUAAUCU